UACUCUUGAUCGAUUUACCAUUGUGUUCCAAUCAAACAUGCUGUCCAUCGACAGUAUUCAAAUCAAAAUUUCGUUCAGCCAUGCUGCCUGGUUAAGUUUUUUGCUUGUGGAUGCUCGUACGUUGUACUGAUGAGUUUUGAUCACUUGAAAAGAGGAAGUCAUCCCAAUUAAAAUGAUAAAUGAUUAAUUUAUUGACGGUUCGUAUUAUGGCAGAGCUUAGCAUCUAUAUCAGGGAAAAGGGUGGAGUCUAAAACCUUCUUUUGGACCACUUGAUGGUUCCCUGCAGCGUGGGCUAUUAGAUCCGCACA
rnacentral:lncRNA from 1 species